rnacentral:rRNA from 1 species
ACGGGUGAGUAAUGUCUGGGAAACUGCCCGAUGGAGGGGGAUAACUACUGGAAACGGUAGCUAAUACCGCAUAACGUCGCGAGACCAAAGUGGGGGACCUUCGGGCCUCACACCAUCGGAUGUGCCCAGAUGGGAUUAGCUAGUAGGUGGGGUAACGGCUCACCUAGGCGACGAUCCCUAGCUGGUCUGAGAGGAUGACCAGCCACACUGGAACUGAGACACGGUCCAGACUCCUACGGGAGGCAGCAGUGGGGAAUAUUGCACAAUGGGCGCAAGCCUGAUGCAGCCAUGCCGCGUGUAUGAAGAAGGCCUUCGGGUUGUAAAGUACUUUCAGCGGGGAGGAAGGCGAUGUGGUUAAUAACCGCGUCGAUUGACGUUACCCGCAGAAGAAGCACCGGCUAACUCCGUGCCAGCAGCCGCGGUAAUACGGAGGGUGCAAGCGUUAAUCGGAAUUACUGGGCGUAAAGCGCACGCAGGCGGUCUGUCAAGUCGGAUGUGAAAUCCCCGGGCUUAACCUGGGAACCGCAUUCGAAACUGGCAGGCUAGAGUCUUGUAGAGGGGGGUAGAAUUCCAGGUG